GGACUACCGGGGUUUCUAAUCCUGUUUGCUCCCCACGCUUUCGUGCAUGAGCGUCAGUAUUGACCCAGGGGGCUGCCUUCGCCAUCGGUAUUCCUCCACAUCUCUACGCAUUUCACUGCUACACGUGGAAUUCUACCCCCCUCUGCCAUACUCGAGCGAUGCAGUCACCAAUGCAGUUCCCAGGUUAAGCCCGGGGAUUUCACAUCGGUCUUAGCGGACCGCCUGCGCACGCUUUACGCCCAGUAAUUCCGAUUAACGCUCGCACCCUACGUAUUACCGCGGCGGCUGGCAC
rnacentral:rRNA from 2 species